rnacentral:rRNA from 1 species
AUUGAACGCUGGCGGCAGGCCUAACACAUGCAAGUCGAACGAGUGGCGGACGGGUGAGUAAUGUCUGGGAAACUGCCUGAUGGAGGGGGAUAACUACUGGAAACGGUAGCUAAUACCGCAUAACAUCGGAUGUGACCAGAUGGGAUUAGCGAGUAGGUGGGGUAAAGGCUCACCUAGGCGACGAGCCCGAGCUGGUCUGAGAGGAUGACCAGCCACACUGGAACGGAGACACGGUCCAGACGCCUACGGGAGUCAGCAGUGGGGAAUAUUGCACAAUGGGCGCAAGCCUGAUGCAGCCAUGCCGCGUGUAUGAAGAAGGCUUUCGGGUUGUAAAGUACUUUCAGCGGGGAGGCGUUACCCGCAGAAGAAGCACCGGCUAACUCCGUGCCAGCAGCCGCGGUAAUAC